UGGAUUCCUCCCAAGAAUACUUAUGCUGCUCCCAUUAUACUUGCCUUGUGUAAACUCAAAAAUCAUUGUCAUAAGCAACACAGGUUCGCUCUGUGAAGCCAUCGCGUAAAUCCCUUGAGCCCUUCCAAUAACCUCACUUGAUGCAUUAGGCCCUAUGGUUAGUGCAUCAUCACACAUGAAAGUUUUGCCAAAACCAUAUAUUCCUCCGCCACCCGGUGAAACUAUUUUGAUUGCUGAAGGAUGUUUUCCACCUUGGAUAUCAUGGAAGUAGAAAUGGAG
rnacentral:misc_RNA from 1 species